UGGGGGAUAUUGCACAAUGGGCGAAAGCCUGAUGCAGCGACGCCGCGUGGGGGAUGAAGGCUUUCGGGUUGUAAACCUCUUUCGCUAUCGAACAAGGCCCGCUUAGGGUGGGUUGAGGGUAGGUGGAGAAGAAGCGCCGGCUAACUACGUGCCAGCAGCCGCGGUAAUACGUAGGGCGCGAGCGUUGUCCGGAAUUAUUGGGCGUAAAGGGCUUGUAGGCGGCUUGUUGCGCCUGCUGUGAAAACGCGGGGCUUAACUUCGCGCGUGCAGUGGGUACGGGCGGGCUUGAGGGUGGUAGGGGUGACUGGAAUUCCAGGUGGAGCGGUGGAAUGCGCAGAUAUCUGGAGGAACACCGAUGGCGAAGGCAGGUCACUGGGCCAUUACUGACGCUGAGGAGCGAAAGCAUGGGUAGCGAACAGG
rnacentral:rRNA from 1 species